rnacentral:rRNA from 1 species
AACGAACGCUGGCGGCAUGCCUAACACAUGCAAGUCGAACGAGACCUUCGGGUCUAGUGGUGCACGGGUGCGUAACGCGUGGGAACCUGCCCUUAGGUUCGGAAUAACUCCCCGAAAGGGGUGCUAAUACCGGAUAAUGUCUUCGGACCAAAGAUUUAUCGCCUUUGGAUGGGCCCGCGUUGGAUUAGCUAGUUGGUAGGGUAAAAGCCUACCAAGGCGACGAUCCAUAGCUGGUCUGAGAGGAUGAUCAGCCACACUGGGACUGAGACACGGCCCAGACUCCCACGGGAGGCAGCAGUGGGGAAUAUUGGACAAUGGGCGAAAGCCUGAUCCAGCAAUGCCGCGUGAGUGAUGAAGGCCUUAGGGUUGUAAAGCUCUUUUACCCGGGAUGAUAAUGACAGUACCGGGAGAAUAAGCUCCGGCUAACUCCGUG